CCUACGGGUGGCAGCAGUGAGGAAUAUUGGUCAAUGGGCGUAAGCCUGAACCAGCGACGUCGCGUUAGGGAUGAAGGUUCUAUGGAUCGUAAACCUCUUUUGUAAGGGAAUAAAGUAUGGUACGUGUCCUGUUUUGUAUGUACCUUAUGAAUAAGGAUCGGCUAACUCCGUGCCAGCAGCCGAGGUAAUACGGAGGAUCCGAGCGUUAUCCGGAUUUAUUGGGUUUAAAGGGUGCGUAGGCGGCCUUUUAAGUCAGCGGUGAAAGUCUGUGGCUCAACCACAGAAUUGCCGUGGAAACUGGGAGGCUUGAGUAUGUGUGAGGCAGGCGGAAUGCGUGGUGUAGCGGUGAAAUGCUUAGAUAUCACGCAGAACCCCGAUGGCGAAGGCAGCCUGCCAAGCCAUGACUGACGCUGAUGCACGAAAGCGUGGGGAUCAAACAGGAUUAGAUACCCCAGUAGUC
rnacentral:rRNA from 1 species